UACGUAGGGUGCAAGCGUUAAUCGGAAUUACUGGGCGUAAAGCGUGCGCAGGCGGCUUUGCAAGACAGAUGUGAAAUCCCCGGGCUUAACCUGGGAACUGCAUUUGUGACUGCAUGGCUGGAGUGCGGCAGAGGGGGAUGGAAUUCCCGGUGUAGCAGUGAAAUGCGUAGAUAUCGGGAGGAAUACCGAUGGCGAAGGCAGGUCUCUGGGCUGACACUGACGCUCAUGCACGAAAGCGUGGGGAGCAAACGGG
rnacentral:rRNA from 1 species